rnacentral:rRNA from 1 species
UGGGGAAUUUUGGACAAUGGGCGCAAGCCUGAUCCAGCCAUGCCGCGUGCGGGAAGAAGGCCUUCGGGUUGUAAACCGCUUUUGUCAGGGAAGAAAUCUUCUGAGUUAAUACCUCGGGAGGAUGACGGUACCUGAAGAAUAAGCACCGGCUAACUACGUGCCAGCAGCCGCGGUAAUACGUAGGGUGCAAGCGUUAAUCGGAAUUACUGGGCGUAAAGCGUGCGCAGGCGGUUUUGUAAGACAGAGGUGAAAUCCCCGGGCUCAACCUGGGAACUGCCUUUGUGACUGCAAGGCUAGAGUACGGCAGAGGGGGGAUGGAAUUCCGCGUGUAGCAGUGAAAUGCGUAGAUAUGCGGAGGAACACCGAUGGCGAAGGCAAUCCCCUGGGCCUGUACU